UACGGGGGGGGGCAAGCGUUUGUUCGGAAUUACUGGGCGUAAAGGGCUCGUAGGUGGCCAACUAAGUCAGACGUGAAAUCCCUCGGCUUAACCGGGGAACUGCGUCUGAUACUGGAUGGCUUGAGUUCGGGAGAGGGAUGCGGAAUUCCAGGUGUAGCGGUGAAAUGCGCAGAUAUCAGGAAGAACACCAAUGGCGAAGGCAGCUCUCUGGGACGGUACUGACGCUGAGACGCGAAAGCGUGGGGAGCGAACAGG
rnacentral:rRNA from 1 species